UAAUGACGGAGAGCAAGCAGCGCUUGGUGGAGGAUGGAGAGAGAUGGCGCGGUGGCGCUCUUUAAACUGGCGUCAGCCAGAGCUCACUUCACUGACUCCAGCAGAUUCAAAAUGCUGCCGUCUGGAUUCUAAGUGGCACCAAGGAGUAUGAACACGUCAUUCCAGCGCUGAGCACCAAAUCACAACAGCAAUCAGCUCUGCCCCCACCCCAAACCCUCUUGGCAACAGUGG